CAUGGCCCAGUUUCCCAAACCGUCAUAGGCUUUCCUAGAAUACAGCCUCUAACAGCACUAGGCCGGCCCGAACCCCUGGGAAGAGAAUCGUUUACCUUUAUACCAAGAUUGGGAAACUGCCAAAGUCUGCACAUGGCAUGGGCCUGGGCUGACUCCGAGGGGUUUGUGCUGUGAGACCUAAAGCUCCUAUGAGACUGCCCCAAAGCAAAAACAUGUCAGCAAGCGGCCAUCUGGUGCUUCUGUGUGAACGUGUUCCCGACAGGAUCAAGUGUGCCUUCCUCAUCAAGGAGCAGAAAGUUGCUGGGAAGGUGUUAAGGGCAGGAGCACAGUCAGAAAGCUCA
rnacentral:lncRNA from 10 species